GUCGGCUGCCCAACCGACUGAGCCACCCAGGCGCCUCCAGCCUGUUUCAAGAGGGAGCAGAAGAAAAAAAAUCACUUGGUGGUGAGAGGAGAGGAGAGUCCUUCCUGCAGGAGGCUUGUGAAGACUUCAUCAGAGCAGCACCUCUGGACAACAAUAAACACUCAAGUGUUUAUUGACCACAGGCUGCAGGCCUAGGUAUCAGGGAGCCAGAGAUUAAAGGUAUGGCCCUUGCCCCUGCCCUUCAAAAGCUAACAGUUGCACCUCCGAGUGGCUGGGUCUGAUUUUUCCCUCCAAAGGAAUUUGGAGAAGACAAAUAGAAUCUUGAACCUUCUUUUCUGACACAUUUGGAUUUUAUCAAGCAUAAACAAACAAAAAAGGCUGAACAGAUACUUCCAAGAUUUGUGUGUAUAUUCAGUUUUUGAUUGUUACACUGAUAUUUUUAAGAUGUCUAAGCUAGCAGGCAUGUGAAGUGAUCUUCCGUGUGUACUAGAAGGACACAAAGUGGUAUUUUUACGUUGAUGAGGUUUGUAAAUGUUUUUAGAUCUUCUGGAGUGCAUUUUGUUUGUUAAUACAUAUUUAUUAGAGUGAUGUUUUAAGUUAAUAAAAUAUUGAGACUCUUACCUAUGGCUUUUCAUUUAGGUAGGGAAUUUGGAAAAGACUUGUUUUAGUCCAUAGUGGGAGUUGGUCCUGAAGAAGCUAUAGUGAGGUAUUAAAAGUAAAGCAGACAAGCCAAUAUCCAGAAGAGAGUAAGAUCCAAUUGCUUGGAUUUUCAUAUGCUUUUCCCUUCUAUACCUCAAAAAUCCUUCUUUCUUAACAGAAAAACUAGGUAUACAAAACUAAGCUCCUGUCUUAUAGAGUCCCUGAUGGUCCUCCUGUACAUAGAUCCUUCUGAGGACCUCAGGGUUGUUUUUGUUUGUUUGUUUUUUGUGUUUUGUUUUGUUUAUAGGUCAGAAGGCUCCCAUAUGAAUAAAGAAAUCACAGUUCUUGGGUCCAGAAAUUGAGUCUUAGUCACAGCUCUGUCACCAACAUGCUGUGUGACUUAGGCAACUCCUUUGGCCUCCCUGAUUCCAGUUUCCUUGACCAUAAAAUGGGGAUAUGGUUCUGUCAUCCUAAUCCAACCCUGCCUGCUUUGAUUCUGUGGAGACUGGAGGGGAUAGAAAGUGUGUGAUAUUGGUUAGUUGCCUCACCUACUGCAAGUCUAAAUAUAAAGAUGAAUCAGGGGAGGGGUAGUAAAAUUGGAAUUUGAAUUAUUUCUGGCUCUAUCCCACCUGUGGGAAUUUCUUGCAUGAAUCAGUCCUUAAGAAAAUGAAACUAGAAUAAGGUCCUGGCCUAAAUUCCAACUACCUGUGCUCAUUCUAACAUCUCUCAGCCAAGGUAUGCAUGGCCUGUGGUGACCACCAGUAGAUUGUGCAUUUCGAUUCAAAUCAAUUUCACACAUACUGAUUGAGAGCCUAGUAUGUGCCUGGCACUGUUCUAGGUGGUUGGGUACAGCAGUGAGCACAGUGUCCUAUGGAGCUUUAUUUAUUUUGUCACUGCUGAAUCUUCAGCUCCCAGAACAGUGCCUGUCACACCAAUAGAAGAUCAGUAGGUAUUUGCUGAGGUAGUAGGUAAAUAAGCAGAGAAAAUAAAAUUCUGCUUAACUCUGACCAGCUCUGCUUUCUAGAGCACAAUGGAAAGAUAAAUUGCUUGAAACUUUAGGAAACCAACUGAACACAUAGGACGCUCUCUGAGUUGGUGGGUAAGGGGGCAAGACUGCUUUCCUCCAGUCUCUCUAAAUCUCAGUCCUUGGCUGCGCUUAGUUGGUUUUCAACACCAUGUCUUUCCAUGUCAGUUUACUCUCAUUCAAAAUUUACAUUUGUUUAUAAUGCAGUUGAAGAUAAUUUUCCAGAACUGAUGGUUGAACAGUUACAGCAUCCAGAAACCUCUUCCUAGUGUCCUGGGAAACAAAACUCCCAGGGAAUAAAGAUCACAAAAUGUCCUUCGCACAGAAUUCACUGUGCAUACUGGUUGAUUAUUUCCAACUGGUUUGAAAAGUAAAGAAGUUGGCGUCAAGAGGAAACAAAAGUGGUUGUAAACCACAGAGGUUGGUUCUCACCAACUGCUGGAUUCAACCUGUAGAAAACUCGACAAAGUACAGUCAACCCAUUAAGGACCCCAGCGCAACUCCAAAGUGAAGAAAGUGAACUCAGUUUGUAUUGUGUAAAUUGUACCCUGAACAGUCUCAGGAAGUAUCACAGCUUCCUGAUUGCAAACCCAGAUAAAGUCUAAGGCCACAGCUGCUAAGGACAAAAGCCACCAACCCCCAAAAUGAAGAAAAAUGACAUCUACGGGCUGCAGUUAUGAGAAAGUCCCAUUGGGUAUGUCAGGGUCUAAAACAGAAUUCAGAUGAAAGAAUUGGUUCUGUGUCUCACACAAAUGAAGAUUCACCUGGAGCUUUAGGGAUAUUAUGGAAAUAGGGAGAUCUGAGAGUUCUGGCUUCUAAUGUUAUGAAGCAAGUUUCUGCAUGACCAUUUCACUGCAGAGCAUUUUGAACCUGAUGAAGCACUGUUUCAGAAAUAUAGGGUGAAAUGAUGGGAGGCUACAUAUUGGGACAUAAGUGGAAAAUCUUAUCCCUUAAAAAUCUCUUCUCUGCUCAACCUGCUUUCACUGCCUGCUGUUAAAUAUAAAAGCUACUGUGUAUUUUCAAUAUUAAGAGAAAAGACUUGGCAGCUUGAAAAGGAGAUCAGAAUUGAUCGCAAAGAGCAGAGGUCAGGUUCCUUUGCUGACUACUUGUGUGACUUUGGAUAAUUUAACCUUCAUUGUUUUAUCUGUUAAAUGGAAAGAAUAAAGCUACUAGUAGGAUUAUUGUGAA